rnacentral:rRNA from 1 species
UUAGAGUUUGAUCCUGGCUCAGGAUGAAUUCUAGCGACAGGCUUAACACAUGCAAGUCGAGGGGCAGCGGGGGAGUGGCAACACUUCCGCCGGCGACCGGCGCACGGGUGAGUAACACGUAUGAAACCUGCCCGCAGCAGGGGGAUAAGCGGAAGAAAUUCCGUCUAAUACCGCGUAACAACCGACGGGGGCAUCCCUGUUGGUUCAAAGGAGCGAUCCGGCUGCGGAUGGUCAUGCGGCGCAUUAGCUAGUUGGCGGGGCAACGGCCCACCAAGGCGACGAUGCGUAGGGGUUCUGAGAGGAAGGUCCCCCACACUGGUACUGAGACACGGACCAGACUCCUACGGGAGGCAGCAGUGAGGAAUAUUGGUCAAUGGCCGAGAGGCUGAACCAGCCAAGUAGCGUGAAGGAUGACUGCCCUACGGGUUGUAAACUUCUUUUAUAAAGGAAUAAAGUGAGGCACGUGUGCCUUUUUGUAUGUACUUUAUGAAUAAGGAUCGGCUAACUCCGUGCCAGCAGCCGCGGUAAUACGGAGGAUCCGAGCGUUGUCCGGAUUUAUUGGGUUUAAAGGGAGCGUAGAUGGGUUGUUAAGUCAGUUGUGAAAGUUUGCGGCUCCACCGUAAAAUUGCAAUUGAUACUGGCAGCCUUUGAGUACAGUUGAAGUAGGCGGAAUUCGGGGUGUAACGGUGAAAAUGCUUAGAUAUCACGAAAAACUCCCAUUGCUAAAGCAGCCUACUAAACUGCCACUGACAUUGAUGCUGGAAAGGGUGGGGUAUCAAACAGGAUUAGAUACCCUGGUAGUCCACACGGUAAACGAUGAAUACUCGCUGUUUGCGAUAUACAGCAAGCGGCCAAGCGAAAGCGUUAAGUAUUCCACCUGGGGAGUACGCCGGCAACGGUGAAACUCAAAGGAAUUGACGGGGGCCCGCACAAGCGGAGGAACAUGUGGUUUAAUUCGAUGAUACGCGAGGAACCUUACCCGGGCUCAAACGGCGGAUGACAGGCGCAGAGACGCGCUUUUCCACGGACAUCCGCCGAGGUGCUGCAUGGUUGUCGUCAGCUCGUGCCGUGAGGUGUCGGCUUAAGUGCCAUAACGAGCGCAACCCCUGCCGACAGUUGCUAACAGGCAAAGCUGAGGACUCUGUCGGGACUGCCGGCGCAAGCCGUGAGGAAGGCGGGGAUGACGUCAAAUCAGCACGGCCCUUACGUCCGGGGCGACACACGUGUUACAAUGGGUGGCACAGAGGGAAGCCAGGCGGCGACGCCGAGCGGAACCCGAAAUCCACUCUCAGUUCGGAUCGGAGUCUGCAACCCGACUCCGCGAAGUUGGAUUCGCUAGUAAUCGCGCAUCAGCCAUGGCGCGGUGAAUACGUUCCCGGGCCUUGCACUCACCGCCCGUCA